rnacentral:misc_RNA from 1 species
UAAAGUAUAUUGAAAAGAGUAGCAAACUGAUAACUUGACAGAGAGAAUGGGCAUGUCUGAGACCCAUUUAGGGGAAGGUUUGUGAAGUUCACUUCAUGUUAAUAGUUGAAUAAUGAUAAUUAAGCUAGAUGUUUAUCUAGAAAUUAGGAUGGUACCGCGGUUUUCGCUCCUUUA